rnacentral:lncRNA from 1 species
ACCACAGGGAGGGCGGCGUGUGCUGGGAGCCGGAAGCGCCGGCCGCCAGCUGGCCCUACUGCCUCGCUUCGCAGGAGCGGGCCCGGGGUGACGCAGGCCUGGGGCGCCCCCUGGGGCUGCCCCUGCCCCUGCCCCUGCCCGGGGCCGCCUUUUCCCGGCAGGCCACAUUGGAGAGAGCCCCUCCGGUACAAGGCUCUCGUUGGCACCGGCCUCUGCCCGGGUGUGGGAGAGCAGGCCCGAGGGGAGCCAGGCCUGCAGCCCCUCGAGCGCCCCCCGGGUCCCAGCAUGGCCACGCGGGCCAGGGCUCAGGGAGGCGCUGGGGCUCGGAGGCCUGCCUGCGCCGCGAGGUCGCCGGGUCGAGGGCACCCGAGGGCCAGAGCUGACUCUCCGGCCUUCCCCGCGUCCCGGGGCCUCCCCACCCCCACUCGGCCCUGGAAUCAAUAGUGGCCGCUGAUUUUUCACGACAAUUGCAGCUGUCUAAUUCAUCAGUGAAUAAUUAAAUCAGAGGCAACCAGGCCUGCCUGGCGUCGGAGACCAGGGACUCCCCACCCAGAGCCCAUCAGAUUGGGGGUCUGUGGGGAGCAGGGAGGCCAGGAAGGGACAGGCCUCGCCCUGAGCCAGGGCUGGGAGAGCGGCCAGGCCCGGCGCCAUUCGCGGUGCGUGAACGAAGCCAGAACCCUGUGCGGUGCGAGGAGGCAGGGGAGCAGGGGGGCGCUCCGCAGGGACCCGACUCCCAGCCCAGCACCGUCCUCUACGAGGGCGCAAAUUCCACAUCCCACCCACACACCUAGGCGCCUGGGAGGGCGGUUGUAGGGUUUUGUGCAGACACCCUCCUCACGCAGACUUUGCGAAGGGAGAGGAAAUCCACCCUCGGGAGGCGAUUUGCCUUUGAGGAAGAUGGAGAGGAGCAGAGAGAAGCGCCUAGAAACGGCAUUGAUUUAGACAUCAAUCCUGGCCAGCUCCCUCCGCCUCUGGAGGCGCGGGGCCGCACCGCCCCCUCCCCGGGAAGCGGCUCGGCGAGGACCCCGGGGCCGCCGGGCCUGGGGAGCGGCUCGAAGAUCCUGCGCGGCCAUCCGCUUCCUCGGCCUCGACGCCGCCCCGCCCGCAGGCCCGGGCUCGGGUCCGACCCGCUCCCACGCGCAUUCUCGAGGCCAACAGGUACUCCCCGGCCGCGAGUCCGCAGCGCCGCUCGCACGGCUCUCCCAGCACCCGGUGGGACGCCCCCCCCCGAGCCCCAGAUCUUUGGAGGAAGCCAAACCAAUUGUGCCCAGCCCAGCCCGGCUCUGGUUCUUGGAGGCCGCGGGGGCCGAGUCCUGCUCCUCCGCCGGCAAGGCUACGAAACGGCCGCCUCCGAACCCUGCGGUCCACCAGAGUUGCUUUCCUCUGCACGUUCGCAAACAAAACAAUUCGGAAUUCCUAAAAGUGACAUCGAGCCGGUUUUCAAUAAUAAAAUGCUCCUAAAAUAAUCUC